rnacentral:rRNA from 1 species
UAAACGUUGGGCGCUAGAUGUGGGGACCAUUCCACGGUUUCCGCGUCGUAGCUAACGCAUUAAGCGCCCCGCCUGGGGAGUACGGCCGCAAGGCUAAAACUCAAAGGAAUUGACGGGGGCCCGCACAAGCGGCGGAGCAUGCGGAUUAAUUCGAUGCAACGCGAAGAACCUUACCAAGGCUUGACAUAUACGAGAACGCUGCAGAAAUGUAGAACUCUUUGGACACUCGUAUACAGGUGGUGCAUGGUUGUCGUCAGCUCGUGUCGUGAGAUGUUGGGUUAAGUCCCGCAACGAGCGCAACCCUCGUCGCAUGUUGCCAGCACGUUAUGGUGGGGACUCAUGUGAGACUGCCGGGGUCAACUCGGAGGAAGGUGGGGACGACGUCAAAUCAUCAUGCCCCUUAAGUCUUGGGCUUCACGCAUGCUACAAUGGCCGGUACAAAGGGCUGCGAUGUCGUAAGGCGGAGCGAAUCCCAAAAAGCCGGUCUCAGUUCGGAUUGAGGUCUGCAACUCGACCUCAUGAAGUCGGAGUCGCUAGUAAUCGCAGAUCAGCAACGCUGCGGUGAAUACGUUCCCGGGCCUUGUACACACCGCCCGUCAAGUCAUGAAAGUCGGUAACACCCGAAGCCGGUGGCCUAACCGUAAGGAGGGAGCCGUCGAAGGUGGGAUCGGUGAUUAGGACUAAGUCGUAACAAGGUAAA